GGGGCUGUAGCUCAACUGGCAGAGCGCGGGACUCCAAAUCCCGUGGUUGGGGGUUCGAGUCCUCCCAGCCCCG
rnacentral:tRNA from 1 species